AUUUAAAUAAUUUAAAAAAAAUAUUGAUUUGUGGUAUCAAAAAUAUGAUUAUUAUAUCAUUUUAAAUU
rnacentral:tRNA from 2 species